UUGUCUACAGUGGAGAAGCUAAGCCCCUCCGCCAACGCCCUUGCCUGCCACUCCGUGGCCUCGCCUGAUACACAGUGGUCGCCUUCCCUUGACAGCGGCGUUGCUGGCCACCGUGUUGCUCAUCUCGGCCAUGUUCCUCUUCGUGCUCAGCACCUAGGCGUCGCGUCCGACCCCGGUACCCUAAAUCCUCAGCAGUCGCCUUGGCUCCUGCAGCCGCGUCCAUGA
rnacentral:misc_RNA from 1 species